ensembl:snRNA U6 U6 spliceosomal RNA
GUGCUCGCUUUGGCAGCACAUAUAUUAAUAUUGGAACAAUACAGAGAAGAUUAGCAUCGCCCUUGAGCAAGGAUGACACACAAAUUCACGAAGCAUUUCAUAUUUUU